rnacentral:rRNA from 1 species
UCGAGCGGAAACGAAGAGGUGCUUGCACCUCUGGCGUCGAGCGGCGGACGGGUGAGUAAUGCUUGGGAAUAUGCCAUAAGGUGGGGGACAACAGUUGGAAACGACUGCUAAUACCGCAUAAUGUCUACGGACCAAAGGAGGGGCUCUUCGGACCUUUCGCCUUUUGAUUAGCCCAAGUGAGAUUAGCUAGUUGGUGGGGUAAUGGCCUACCAAGGCGACGAUCUCUAGCUGGUUUGAGAGGAUGAUCAGCCACACCGGGACUGAGACACGGCCCAGACUCCUACGGGAGGCAGCAGUGGGGAAUAUUGCACAAUGGGGGAGACCCUGAUGCAGCCAUGCCGCGUGUGUGAAGAAGGCCUCCGGGUUGUAAAGCACUUUCAGUUGUGAGGAAAGGUUUGUAGUUAAUACCUGCAAGCUGUGACGUUAGCAACAGAAGAAGCACCGGCUAACUCCGUGCCAGCAGCCGCGGUAAUACGGAGGGUGCGAGCGUCAAUCGGAAUUACUGGGCGUAAAGCGUGCGUAGGCGGUUACAUAAGUCAGAUGUGAAAGCCCGGGGCUCAACCUCGGAACUGCAUUUGAAACUGUGUGACUAGAG